AUGGCUGUCGUCAGCUCGUGUCGUGAGAUGUUGGGUUAAGUCCCGCAACGAGCGCAACCCUCGGCCUUAGUUGCCAUCAUUUAGUUGAGCACUCUAAGGAGACUGCCGGUGACAAACCGGAGGAAGGUGGGGAUGACGUCAAGUCAUCAUGCCCCUUAUGUUCAGGGCUACACACGUGCUACAUUGGCGCGUACAGAGGGCUGCGAUACCGCGAGGUGGAGCGAAUCCCUUAAAGCGCGUCUCGGUUCGGAUUGCAGGCUGAAACCCGCCUGCAUGAAGGCGGAGUUGCUAGUAAUCGUGGAUCAGCAUGCCACGGUGAAUACGUUCCCGGGCCUUGUACACACCGCCCGUCACACCAUGGGAGUUGGUUUUACCCGAAGACGGUGCGCUAACCUCGCAAGAGGAGGCAGCCGACCACGGUAGGGUCAGCGACUGGGGUGAAGUCGUAACAAGGUAGCCGUAGGGGAACCUGCGGCUGGAUCACCUCCUUUCUAAGGAUGAGCCUUCAUGGAUGGGCCCUCACGCCCGCCAUAUCGGCUCGACCUAGACAACGGACUGGUCUUAGGAAUCGGACCGGAUCCUAAAUCAGAGCGGGAUUCCGCCGUCUCCGUUUCUCUUUCUUCAAGGCAAGAGCUCGCGUUCUCAUCGGAGAACGUACGCUUGGCAUCGGGCCUGUAGCUCAGGUGGUUAGAGCGCACGCCUGAUAAGCGUGAGGUCGGUAGUUCGAGUCUACCCAGGCCCACCAUUAUCGGGUGCAUACGCCAGACAAUCGACCGCUUCCCGGCCGGGGCCAUAGCUCAGUUGGGAGAGCGCCUGCUUUGCAAGCAGGAGGUCGUCGGUUCGAUCCCGUCUGGCUCCACCAACGGCUUUGACCCGCUGCCCUUCGCGCCUUUCGCGCGUGGUGCUCUUGCCAAGAGCUCUUGCCAAAGAGCCAAGUUUUCGCGGGCGGCGAUGCCGCCUGCUGAUAUCUUUUACAUCGUGAAGAGGGGAUUGACCUGAGGCUUUCUCUAGCCGCAAGGGCACUUGUUGUGUCCUUGUUGGAGGAAGACCGCCUUACCCGGUCAGCGGAGUCUAAACCGCUUCUGCUGUUGGGUCGAUCUCGAUGAAAUCUGGUCUUAACGUCGGUGUCCGUCCGCAAGGAUGGGCAUUGAUAUAGACUAAAACUCAGAGUCGAUUUCCGUCCCCGAAGGAUGGGCAUUGAUGAUGAGAGCAAUCAAGUGACAUAAGGGCAUCUGGUGGAUGCCUUGGCGCGCACAGGCGAUGAAGGACGCGGUACGCUGCGAUAAGCCAUGGGGAGCUGCGAACAAGCUUUGAUCCAUGGAUUUCCGAAUGGGGAAACCCGG
rnacentral:sRNA from 1 species